rnacentral:rRNA from 1 species
UACGAAGGGGGCUAGCGUUGCUCGGAAUCACUGGGCGUAAAGCGCACGUAGGCGGAUUGUUAAGUCAGGGGUGAAAUCCUGGAGCUCAACUCCAGAACUGCCUUUGAUACUGGCGAUCUCGAGUCCGGGAGAGGUGAGUGGAACUGCGAGUGUAGAGGUGAAAUUCGUAGAUAUUUGGAAGAACACCAGUGGCGAAGGCGGCUCACUGGCCCGGUUCUGACGCUGAGGUGCGAAAGCGUGGGGAGCAAACAGG